UACGGAGGGUGCGAGCGUUUGUCCGGAAUCACUGGGCGUAAAGGGCGCGUAGGUGGCGGAGCAAGUCAACGGUGAAAGCUCGACGCUCAACGUCGAGUCGGCCGUCGAGACUGCCUUGCUCGAGCACUGUAGAGGCAGAUGGAAUUCCGGGGUGUAGCGGUGGAAUGCGUAGAUAUCGUUUGGAACGCCAAUGGUGAAAACAGGUUGCUGGGGAGUGUGCUGACGCUGAGACACGAAAGCCAGGGGAGCGAACGGG
rnacentral:rRNA from 1 species